UCAACACCAGCUCAGACCUAAUUAAGGUUAUGAGUCACACCUGCGUUUGACAAGCCCGACUAAAACAACAAGAAAGGCCUCUUCUGCUUCUACAUUUCCUUAUUCACCACUAACACCGACCUAUCAGGCUGGCUACAUACUGGAUGCGUGGCGUGAGUGUGUCAGCUGCGUGGCGUGUCCGUUUUUAUUUCGGCUCCCAUGUUAACAGGGCUUGAUUACAAUCAGCGCUGUUUCUGUGCUUGUGCAUGGCGCACCAGAGAGGGAAAAGGACAACGACAGGGGGCCAGCCGAGGACUUCCUUUGUCUGGAGAUUGUAACUUAGUGCUGAGUGCAUAAAGAAGAGGGAGGGAGAAAUUGAGCUGCCAGCCUGUACCCAGCAUGAGAGCAGGAAAGUCCUGUCAUCGCGUGAGCUAUAAUAAAUUCCUUCAUUUCCCAGGAUUGUUCUCCAUCAGGGAAAGGAAAGUGGUUGUUUCUCAGGCUCGGAGUUGCAACAAGCCAAAGUAGAACUCUCCCUUGUCCGGAGGACCCAAUGCAUUACAUCAUCCAGUUUACAAAUCUUUUUUUUUUUUUGCUUAAGUUCAACAGUAAGCUGUUAUUCAUAAAACAGUUUACAGUUCCAGUGCGGAGUAUGAUAAGAUGGCAGGAGGACUCAGGAUAUAAGAGCAAUAAACAUGUAUUGAAAAGUAAUGAUUAUUAACAUUGAAAGUUUUAUUAAUGCUGUAUUUACAUUAAUGUCCUUGGAGACAAUCUCACAUUACUAAACCGACUAUGUGACUUUCCUUAAAAUUCACAUAAAAGACUGAAAGAGAAUAAAUAGCAUGUCCAAACCUA